GUGAACGCCCUCACGGGCUUAUACUAUUCCAAACCUCUGUGAACCGUGCCCUUCGGGGCUAUUUUACAAGCAUGGUGUAAUGAACGUCAUAUAUCAUAACAAAACA
rnacentral:misc_RNA from 1 species